rnacentral:misc_RNA from 1 species
AUUGAAGUGCAAUCUUAAAACAGAGCCAUCAGGACAAUUGUUGAAGGAAGAUGAGAAGCUAUUACACUCGAUAACUUUAUCAGAUCCAUUAUUGAGAUUAUACGUGAAGUGAUACUGGCCAGUUAUUGGACAAUACUCGUUUCUUAUGGGGAUAUUUCCAAUCUCCCUGGAGGCCAAAGCAGUGGCUUCUGAAGUAUAGCACCUGUUCAGGUCUUCAGAGAAGACCUCGAUAAUGUUGCGUGAUCUCCUUAACAAUCGGAAGCAUCGGAUGCAGUCGCCAUCACCGUAUCUGAAAUAAAUGUACAAUUAUAGCUGGGAAAGAAGAAAGUGCAGGCCGACACCGUCUGAGAUCUGGUCUAUUUCCAUCCCAGACACGCUGCAGACACAUCGGGGCAUCCCUGUCCCUAAGGAUGCAUUAAAUAUUAACUUGCUGUUACCAAUCGGAUUCAGGUAACUGGCAAUUACCAUUACCGCGUUAGGGUCAAGCGGUUACCGGAAACGGACAAAGUGUUAUCGUUAAACAGGGGCAAAUCGUAGCGACUAGCGGUCGUCGGAAUAAAUUACUCGGUGAUUUCUAGGUAGACCCACCUGUCCAUUAGCAACACGUUAUCGCCGAUCCUCCUGUGGCAGUAGCCCCAUACGGGGAUCGCGUUGAACGUGAUGUUGAUGGUGGAAUAUUGAAUGGGCUCGUUGCUCGUGUCGCUGGCUUCCUUUCCGCUCACCUGCGUCACGAACUCACCCUGAAAUUCCGCGGGGAAAUAACAGCCAACCAUGAACUGGGGGUCGUACCCUUGGAGGGCGUCGUCACUCGUGAUUACAGUCGCAUCUGUAAAUUAAAUAACAGGCUCUUUUAUACGGUUUCCUCGGGUUAACUUUAUUUCAAUGAAAGAGAACUUUAGUAUAAUUAUCGAAGUAUUUCUCGUUCGUAGAAAAAUUGAAACUUGCG